rnacentral:rRNA from 1 species
UGCAAGUCGAGGGGCAGCACAUGAAGUAGCAAUACGGAUGGUGGCGACCGGCGCACGGGUGAGUAACGCGUAUGCAACCUGCCUACAACAGGGGGAUAACCCGUUGAAAGACGGACUAAUACCUCAUAAUACAGGGGUUCCGCAUGGGAAUAUUUGUUAAAGAUUAAUCGGUUGUAGAUGGGCAUGCGUUCCAUUAGCUGGUUGGAGAGGUAACGGCUCACCAAGGCAACGAUGGAUAGGGGAACUGAGAGGUUUAUCCCCCACACUGGUACUGAGACACGGACCAGACUCCUACGGGAGGCAGCAGUGAGGAAUAUUGGUCAAUGGACGCAAGUCUGAACCAGCCACGUCGCGUGAAGGAAGACGGCCCUACGGGUUGUAAACUUCUUUUGUAAGGGAAUAAAGUGAGUCACGAGUGACUUUUUGCAUGUACCUUACGAAUAAGGAUCGGCUAACUCCGUGCCAGCAGCCGCGGUAAUACGGAGGAUCCGAGCGUUAUCCGGAUUUAUUGGGUUUAAAGGGUGCGCAGGCGGGAGAUUAAGUCGGCGGUGAAAUUUUGCAGCUCAACUGUAAAAGUGCCUUCGAAACUGGUAUCCUUGAGUGUGGAUGAAGUAGGCGGAAUUUGUGGUG